GACGAACGCUGGCGGCGUGCCUAAUACAUGCAAGUAGAACGCUGAAGAGAGGAGCUUACUCUUCUUGGAUGAGUUGCGAACGGGUGAGUAACGCGUAGGUAACCUGCCUUGUAGCGGGGGAUAACUAUUGGAAACGAUAGCUAAUACCGCAUAACAAUGGAUGACACAUGUCAUUUAUUUGAAAGGGGCAAUUGCUCCACUACAAGAUGGACCUGCGUUGUAUUAGCUAGUAGGUGAGGUAAUGGCUCACCUAGGCGACGAUACAUAGCCGACCUGAGAGGGUGAUCGGCCACACUGGGACUGGGACACGGCCCAGACCCCUACGGGAGGCAGCAGUAGGGAAUCUUCGGCAAUGGGGGCAACCCUGACCGAGCAACGCCGCGUGAGUGAAGAAGGUUUUCGGAUCGUAAAGCUCUGUUGUAAGUCAAGAACGGGUGUGAGAGUGGAAAGUUCACACUGUGACGGUAGCUUACCAGAAAGGGACGGCUAACUACGUG
rnacentral:rRNA from 1 species